rnacentral:rRNA from 1 species
AUGCAACGCGAAGAACCUUACCUGGUCUUGACAUCCCGGAGACCCUUAGGAAACUAGGGGGUGCUUCCAUCUGGAAGAAUCUGGAGACAGGUGCUGCAUGGCUGUCGUCAGCUCGUGUCGCGAGAUGUUGGGUUAAGUCCCGCAACGAGCGCAACCCUUGCCUUUAGUUGCCAGCAGUUCGGCUGGGCACUCUAAAGGGACUGCCGGUGUUAAACCGGAGGAAGGUGGGGAUGACGUCAAGUCAUCAUGGCCCUUACGGCCUGGGCUACACACGUGCUACAAUGGUCGGUACAAAGGGUUGCCAAGCCGCGAGGUGGAGCUAAUCCCAUAAAACCGAUCGUAGUCCGGAUCGCAGUCUGCAACUCGACUGCGUGAAGUCAGAAUCGCUAGUAAUCGUGAAUCAGAAUGUCACGGUGAAUACGUUCCCGGGCCUU